CUCCUUUCCUUCUUGUCUAUUCUUAUCUUUUCUCUAUUUCUUUUCUAGAUUCUGUGUAACAGAGCUCUGCUCUUGUUUCAGUAUCUUAUGGUUCCGAACCCCCAACUGAUGCUUACGGUGCCUCGUCAGUGGAGAAGGAGGCCGCGCGACCGUGGGGGUUUUGUAAUUCUGGGCAUCACCUUUUGGCAAAUGAUGAGCAUUUGUCGAGUCGGUAUUAGAUGCUACUGCAGAAAAAACCUAUUUUUUCUGGGUUAAAGGAACUCGCCAUAGAAAAGUGUUUUUGUAGGAGGGUUCAACCACUGUUUCAUCAAUUCCCCAGUAGCAACAACAACAAUAACAGGUUUUUUAACGUUGGGGUUUCGACUGCAGAAAAAACUUGUUAUGGUUGUUGCUGCCGGGUAAUUGAUGAAUCGGUGGUAGAACCCUCCUGCAAAAACACCUUUCUAUGGCGAGUUCCUUUAACCAGAAAAAAUAGGUUUUUUCUGCAGUAGCAUUUGAUACUGACUCAACCAAUGCUCAUCAUUUGCCAAAAGGUUGAUGCCCAGAAUUUCAAAACCUUGGCGAUCGCGCGGCCUCCUUCUCCACUGGUCGGGCGUUAUAAGCAUCACUUGGGGGUUCGAGACCAUAAGAUACUAGCUAGGCUCAAGGCUCAUCUCACCAAAGAGGAGGAUGAUAUGAUCAUGCGACUUGUUGAGUGUGCUAGGGAACAACAAAUUCCGCCUGCUUUCAUCAAUGAAAACAAGAAGAUGCUGGCGAAGACCUGCUUACUGCACAAGAAUGAAGGGGUGUUGUGGGAAGGAAAGAUAAUGAGAAAGAAUUCCAAUUUCUUCAUCUGUGAAGGAGACUGGCCACAGUUUGUGAUGUAUCACAAACUGAAGCCAGAGGACAUCUUGCUCUUCUUACUCGUUGACAAAUCGACGUUCCUAGUCAUGCCCUACACCAAAAAAAAUGGUAGAAACUUUCACGGGAUGCAACCUUUGGAGGAACUCAGUAGCAGCUAGGAAGAGGAGAGAGAGGAGGAUAUUGAACCUUCAAUAAAUCUGAAAGAAUCAUCAGACUCUGAGGAAGAAAGCAUUGAUCCUCCUGUUAUGUGGAAUAUCCUAUCUACUCAUAUUUAGGUAACGUCGUUUCUUUAUGCAUUUGGUGUUGUUUGAUCAUACAGGCUAACUUGGAUACAGGAGUCCUAACUGUUGUUGUACCUGUAUUAAAUUUGCUAUAUUUGUUAGUCUCUUAGGGUGUGUUUGUUACGAUUGAAAAUGUUAUCUUAGAAAACAAGUGGGUUUCUUACUUAUUUUCUAGUGUUUGGUAAGUAAACAAAAACAUAUUAUCCCAAGGGCAUGUAUAUGUAAUCUAGCGAAACACUAAGGGAGUGGGGUGGGGUGGAGAGCGGCGGUUCGAAGGUGGCGGUGGUGGAUGUUCAAGGGGUGGGGGUUGGGAGCAUUGGGUGGGCAGGGAGGAUACAAUGAACUUGAAAUAUCACUUAUGAAACUUGUUUUCCCUCCUUCCAUUAGUAAAGUCAUUUUCCUCAUUUUUGUAGAGCUUGUUUUCCUAGAGAAAAUGUUUUCCAUAAUAUUAUGACCAAGCAAACAUGGGAAAAUUGGAAAUUUCCUCCAUACCAAACACACUCUUAGAGACAUGUAUGUUAUCCUGACUAUAAAUAUCAAUUUUCUGUCUUUCGCUCAUUUUAUCAACCCUAAUGGUUUCAUCCUGACAAGAGUUAAAUCCAAUGUCAAAGCUGAGGAAAUGAUCCACUUGAAGAAGAAAAUUCUGGAACUAUAUUUGUUUAGGUGGCUUGUCGGUGAUCUAUUCUUGACAACUCCUAAGAGGCCUCUAGGUUCUUUCAUCGUUUUCAUGGAGGAGUUUAAGAAGCGGUGCCCGCAGGUGAAUCCAAACAUAAAAUCUUUUGACACUUUCAAGAAUGUUGGCUGAGACAAGUGGAGACAGAUGUCAGAUGCUGAGAAAGCUCCUUAUAUAGCAGAGGCAGAGAAAAGGAGGGUCGAAUAUGUAAAGGUCUUGAAUUUUUAUAACCCGCUAAUGGCUGCGAAGAAGAAGAAUCUGACAAGUCAAGGUCCGAGGUUAGUCGCUCUAAAGAUGGGAAAAAUCCUUGCUACGCACAUUUAGGAGAUAAAUCCAAUGCCAAAGCUAAUUAUGUAUUCUGCACGAAGAAAAAAGCUCGGGAACUAAAAAGGUUACCUAGGAGGCCUGCAAGUGCUUACUUCAUUUUCAUGGAGGAGUGUAGAAAGCAGUUCCAUGAGCUGAAUCCAAGCAUCAAAUCUAUCGUUGCUGUGGGGAAAGCUAGAGAAAGCAAGUGGAAGCAGAUGUCAGGUGCUGAAAAAGCUCCUCAUAUAGCGGAGGAAGACAAAAGGAAGCUAAAGUAUGCAAAGACAAUGAAUGCGUAUAACACGCGAGUGGCUACCUAAAAAGAGGAAUAUUAUGAUGAGUCAAGUUCCAAGUUUGAUGACGAAGAGGGAAUUGGAGAGGAAGACGAGGAUGACAACUUAUAUACUUUCUUGCUUUCCCAUUAGAUACUCUGUUCUACUUUUUGGGGGGUUUCACAGAAAAUGAUGAAAUUUGGAGCAGUUAAUUGUUUUUAAAGUUUAGUUUGUAUAGUUUAUGUGCUUUCUAUCUUGAUGCUGCUUAAAUAUAAUUCAACUGGGCUUUUGUCUUU